UUUCAACCUGUUAGGAACUUCUAAGGACAGAUUCUAUUAGGAUAACAUACAUACCAGAGUCAAAUAGAGGAUUUCAAACAAUUAGCAAGAAUGGGAGAUUACAAGACGAUUGCCUUGGUCUUAAUGUUAAUCAUUACAGGAUUUAAAAGGAUCAGUGCAGCAG